rnacentral:RNase_P_RNA from 2 species
GGUGGGGGAAGCUCAUCAGUGGGGCCACUUGAUGAAUGCUCAUCACUCCCCGGCCCCUGGGAAGGUCUGAGACUGAGGCUUCCGGCUGCCCUAACUGGGCUCUCCCUGAGCAGGGAGAUGAGUUCCUAGAAUGGGGCAGACCUGGCAGGAGAGGCCUGGAGUCCGGGGAUGCCUCCCUCGUGGGAGCUUGGAACAGACUCAUGGCCGGGGCUGGCUGUAUUAGCAUGCAAGAGAAACUCCGUGGCUUUUACAGUGGAGAGAGAGAGAUACAGCAAGGGCCAUUUCCCUCAGUAGCUCUUUUGCUAUC